rnacentral:tRNA from 1 species
GGAUGCUUAGCUCAGCUGGGAGAGCAUCGCCCUUACAAGGCGGGGGUCACUGGUUCGAACCCAGUAGCUUCCACCA